CAGGCGCGAAAACUUUACAAUGCGGGAAACCGUGAUAAGGGGACACCGAGUGCCAGCAUCAUAUGCUGGCUGUCCGGAUGUGUAAAAUACAUCCGUUAGCAAGGGCCGGGCAAGACCGGUGCCAGCCGCCGCGGUAAUACCGGCGGCUCGAGUGGUGGCCACUAUUACUGGGCUUAAAGCGUUCGUAGCUUGGUUGUUAAGUCUCUUGGGAAAUCUAUCGGCUUAACCGAUAGGCGUCCAGGGGAUACUGGCAAUCUAGGGACCGGGAGAGGUGAGGGGUACUUCAGGGGUAGGAGUGAAAUCCUGUAAUCCUUGGGGGACCACCUGUGGCGAAGGCGCCUCACCAGAACGGCUCCGACAGUGAGGGACGAAAGCUGGGGGAGCAAACCGGAUUAGAUACCCGGGUAGUCCCAGCCGUAAACGAUGUGCGUUAGGUGUAUCGAUGACCACGAGUCAUCGAGGUGCCGAAGGGAAACCGUGAAACGUACCGCCUGGGAAGUACGGUCGCAAGGCUGAAACUUAAAGGAAUUGGCGGGGGAGCACCACAACAGGUGGAGCCUGCGGUUUAAUUGGACUCAACGCCGGGAAGCUCACCGGAUAAGACAGCUGGAUGAUUGCCGGGCUGAAGACUCUGCAUGACUAGCUGAGAGGAGGUGCAUGGCCGUCGUCAGUUCGUACUGUGAAGCAU
rnacentral:rRNA from 1 species